rnacentral:lncRNA from 1 species
GUCCAGAACAAUCAAAACUAAGCGAUGCUACUCCUAUAGUGGAUUAAAUAGCUUAGUAAUGUUUAUACAUUGCAUAAAGUGCUUAUUUAGCUUCUAUUUAUGCAGCGGUGGGAUAGAUUGCACUUUUAGCAUUCGUGUAAAGUAAUAUUUUAUUUUUAUUUUUAUUUUAGUGAGUUUUGUAGAAAAGAAAAAAUUAGCACCAUUAAAAAGAUAUUGACAAUACAUUUAAAAUUAGUCUAAUUUUAAAUAUAUAUAAUAAAAAAUUAAAAAAUCACCAUUUCAUGGUAAAUUAACUUCAUUUUAGGUCCCAUUUCUGCUAGAUUUGUUCGUGUGUUUUUUUUUGGCAAAAACAUUUUGGGUGGGUUCUUUUUCCCCCUUAUAGCUUUUUAAUCCAAAAUUGAAAAAAAUAAGUUUUUUUAACUAGCCCGAACAAGGUUUUUUUUUCCUGAAGUCUUGGGGUUGGAGUUGGAGUGCAUAGUAAAAAUAUUUAAACUCACUUUUUUAAUAAAAAAAAAUAUUUUGUGUUUCCAUAAUGGAGAUUUUUGGAUUAGAGAUGCUCUUAAUUAGCUCCCUAUCUUGCACCAAAAGACAACCAUAAUUCAAAUCAGUCUCUAUCAUGUAAUGAAAUGAUUUUUUUAUCAAAACCUUGCACCAAAUAAAUUUAGGAGCUUUAAGAUAUAAGUACUGUGAGCUGGACUUUUACUCAAAUAAAAAUCGAUCAUUUUAAAAACUCUAUCUAGGUCUUGUGAGGUGGAUUGUUUUGAAUAAUAUAUUUCUCACUCCGUUUUUCAAAUAAAAAUGUUGUUUUCAACUUAAGCAAAAUUUGAGUGUAAUUUUAGGUAUUCCACUUUCCCCAUUUUGGAAAGUAAUGAUUCAUGGUCAUCAAACAUCAAGUUGCUCUGCUUCAAGCCGUACAGGAGUAACACUCAAAUGUGUCUUUGCUCUGCUUCAUGGAAUUCUAACCUUGAAUAAUUUCUCCAACCAACUGAGACCAGGACCGCGUCCAAAAUGAUGAAUAGGGUCUGCAGAAAGAGAUGAAAUUCAAAAUUUAAGAGCUACUCUACUUCUUUCCCCAAUUGUUUGCGCAUUCACGUCAUUGAAAUCAGAACAACAAUUUCUUUCAUUUUCUUUUUUUUCUUUUUCUUUUUUGCUUAAUUUUCUCAGCAACCAGAGGGAGGGCUUAUAGAGAUUAGAAGCCAAAUUGCUCCAAGAUUCUUCUUCAAGAAUGCAAUUCCAGAAUAUGCACACUCACACACACACAGAACUAGGAACUGAAAAGGAGUGGGGGACUGGGGAAGUGAAGAGAGGGUGGGAGUUUCCUGGUUGAUUUUGUCCCACGUCGGAUAGAUGAAGUGAGCGUGAGGUGAGGAAUUCAACUGGAAUACCGAUUUGGUGUAUUGUUUUUAUGACUGGGCAUGGCAAAUUCUCCAACUUUCUGAUGAUUCUACUCUUGACCUGUUCUUUGUGAUUUGUUGAGGCUUCAUGAUAUUAUUAUUAUUUUGGAAGGUGGCUCACUGAAUAUUAUUAAUGCAAUCAAGAGAUCAGACUACGAGCUCUCAGUUUUUGUGCAUUUUGUGAAGGAAGUCCAAGUUCUCAGCAAAUAUUUUCGAUGCUUUAGGCUGUGUUUGAAUCAAGGAUUUGGUGAGUGAAUAGGAAAAGAAAAGGGAAAGUUAGAGUAUCUAAUGGCUUCGAAUGGUUAAAUCUUCUAACUUUUCCAUUCAAUUUCCCUUUUUUACGAACAAAUUCUUGAUCCAAAUAGAGCCUUAAUGUUUCUUAUCCAUCUUCUCAAUUUAAAUUAGGUUGUGAUAGAACUGCAAAUUUUUCAGGAUCAAAUCCAACAAUUAUACAGAUGCGUUUGACUACCCUUUCGUAAAAUUAUACAAUUUAGAACAAGGAAAAUUUGCUUGAAAUCAAAGUCAUUAAAGUUCAAUAAUAUUUCUGAGUGGGCUUUACCCUGGGUUAGAAUGAGCCCUUCCAGAAAUUCUUGAUGACCCAGGCCAAAGAGAGGGGUUUGGAAAUAGUUUUCAACCAGCAAUUGACGCACCUUGGUUGUUACCUCACUAGCUACGUUGUUGCCCCAAGCGCAUAUAUGCAUUCACCCAAUGCCAUGUGCCCUCUUCUUAUAAGACCGUCUUCUCACAAACCCAGCUCGAUAACCGAUGUGGUACGAUGACUCUUAUUUGUUAGCACCGCCUCCUACUCGAUUCCUGAUCAGAAUUGAGACUUGGAAAAUCCACCAAGUUCCAUUUCCUUCACCAGCACUUUGAAAAAGUUUCUAACUAUUCCACCACUAAAUUUUGAUGCAGAUUAGAAAAACUUGGAUUCAAGAAACUAAUCAAAUCAACUUGGCUGACAUGACCAUCCAAUGAAGCUUUUAUUCCCCAAAAGAUUCAAACUCUCUCUCUCUCUGUCUCAUCCUGGGAAUUGAGAGCUGGAGUGAAGAGAGAGGGUGAAAGUUCAUCGCUUCUGUCCCACAUCGAAUAGAUGAGGAGAGUAUGAG